AUGACCUUCCAAGUUUUAUAAAGAAUAGGAUGAUAUUAUUUGCGUUUUAAAAGUCGAACAAUUCUUCUCGACGCCUUGUGCGUUGAGGUUUUAAUGGAGAGUGUGGUUCCUGCGCAGACCAAUAUAAUCUUGUUACAUUCUUUGAAUGACAAGGACACUAUACUUAGAAAAUUCUGAUUCUU
rnacentral:ncRNA from 22 species